UAGAGUUUGAUCAUGGCUCAGGACGAACGCUGGCGGCGUGCCUAAUACAUGCAAGUCGAACGAACUCUGGUAUUGAUUGGUGCUUGCAUCAUGAUUUACAUUUGAGUGAGUGGCGAACUGGUGAGUAACACGUGGGAAACCUGCCCAGAAGCGGGGGAUAACACCUGGAAACAGAUGCUAAUACCGCAUAACAACUUGGACCGCAUGGUCCGAGCUUGAAAGAUGGCUUCGGCUAUCACUUUUGGAUGGUCCCGCGGCGUAUUAGCUAGAUGGUGGGGUAACGGCUCACCAUGGCAAUGAUACGUAGCCGACCUGAGAGGGUAAUCGGCCACAUUGGGACUGAGACACGGCCCAAACUCCUACGGGAGGCAGCAGUAGGGAAUCUUCCACAAUGGACGAAAGUCUGAUGGAGCAACGCCGCGUGAGUGAAGAAGGGUUUCGGCUCGUAAAACUCUGUUGUUAAAGAAGAACAUAUCUGAGAGUAACUGUUCAGGUAUUGACGGUAUUUAACCAGAAAGCCACGGCUAACUACGUGCCAGCAGCCGCGGUAAUACGUAGGUGGCAAGCGUUGUCCGGAUUUAUUGGGCGUAAAGCGAGCGCAGGCGGUUUUUUAAGUCUGAUGUGAAAGCCUUCGGCUCAACCGAAGAAGUGCAUCGGAAACUGGGAAACUUGAGUGCAGAAGAGGACAGUGGAACUCCAUGUGUAGCGGUGAAAUGCGUAGAUAUAUGGAAGAACACCAGUGGCGAAGGCGGCUGUCUGGUCUGUAACUGACGCUG
rnacentral:rRNA from 1 species